GAUGAACGCUGGCGGCGUGCCUAAUACAUGCAAGUCGAGCGAACGGACGAGAAGCUUGCUUCUCUGAUGUUAGCGGCGGACGGGUGAGUAACACGUGGAUAACCUACCUAUAAGACUGGGAUAACUUCGGGAAACCGGAGCUAAUACCGGAUAAUAUUUUGAACCGCAUGGUUCAAAAGUAAAAGACGGUCUUGCUGUCACUUAUAGAUGGAUCCGCGCUGCAUUAGCUAGUUGGUAAGGUAACGGCUUACCAAGGCAACGAUGCAUAGCCGACCUGAGAGGGUGAUCGGCCACACUGGAACUGAGACACGGUCCAGACUCCUACGGGAGGCAGCAGUAGGGAAUCUUCCGCAAUGGGCGAAAGCCUGACGGAGCAACGCCGCGUGAGUGAUGAAGGUCUUCGGAUCGUAAAACUCUGUUAUUAGGAAGAACAUAUGUGUAAGUAACUGUGCACAUCUUGACGGUACCUAAUCAGAAAGCCACGGCUAACUACGUG
rnacentral:rRNA from 1 species